rnacentral:rRNA from 1 species
ACAAAGAAGAGUUUGAUCCUGGCUCAGGAUGAACGCUAGCGGCAGGCUUAACACAUGCAAGUCGAGGGGCAGCGGGGAGUAGCAAUACUCUGCCGGCGACCGGCAAAAGGGUGCGUAACGCGUGAGCGACAUUCCCGUGACUGGGGUAUAACCGA